AUGUGUGAAUCUGGCUUGGGGUAGUUCCCUGGUCCGAGUUGUGCACUAUGGACGUUUCGUCUGCGUUUGUAAUGGCGGUGGAAGUCCGUUGAAACACGGCACCUCAGAGGGUCACAGUCCUGUACCACCUGCCUGCACUCGCGCCAAUGACAAGCGCUCCUCGAGUCGCGUAGUUUUGUAAUGCUGCGCCAAGUGGGAGGUAGAGACCUUCUAAGGCUAAAUAUGAUGACGUGACCGAUAGCACACAAGUACCGCGAGGGAAAGGUGAAAAGCAACCAUGAAAAAUGGGUUGAAACAGUAGUGAAAGCGCUACCGGGAUAAGGGCUAUCGGGUGCUGGGGCUUCUCGGGUGUGCUUCAGUGCUACCCUUGGAGACGGCCCGCGUGGGUUGAUUGGGGCGAUAGACGCGCUGUAGGAAUUCGGCUGCCUUCGGGCAGUGUUGUAGCCUGCGGUUGCUGAUCCUCCUGCGACCUUUUGUAAUUGCGGGUCUUGCGACCGUUAGCCGCCCGUC
rnacentral:rRNA from 1 species